rnacentral:rRNA from 2 species
AGGGGGCUAGCGGAUGGAAGUGCUAGUCUAAGGUCGUAGGAGGUUAUACAGGCAAAUCCGUAUAACAAUACUCCGAGAACUGAAAGGCUUUUUGAAGUCUUCGGAUGGAUAGAAGAACCCCUGAUGCCGUCGAGCCAAGAAAAGUUUCUAAGUUUAGCUAAUGUUGCCCGUACCGUAAACCGACACAGGUGGGUGGGAUGAGUAUUCUAAGGCGCGUGGAAGAACUCUCUUUAAGGAACUCUGCAAAAUAGCACCGUAUCUUCGGUAUAAGGUGUGGUUAGCUUUGUAUUAGGAUUUACUCCGAAAGCAAGGAAACUUACAACAAAGAGUCCCUCCCGACUGUUUACCAAAAACACAGCACUCUGCUAACUCGUAAGAGGAUGUAUAGGGUGUGACGCCUGCCCGGUGCUCGAAGGUUAAUUGAUGGGGUUAGCAUUAGCGAAGCUCUUGAUCGAAGCCCGAGUAAACGGCGGCCGUAACUAUAACGGUCCUAAGGUAGCGAAAUUCCUUGUCGGUUAAAUACCGACCUGCAUGAAUGGCGUAACGAGAUGGGAGCUGUCUCAAAGAGGGAUCCAGUGAAAUUGUAGUGGAGGUGAAAAUUCCUCCUACCCGCGGCAAGACGGAAAGACCCCGUGGACCUUUACUACAGCUUGACACUGCUACUUGGAUAAGAAUGUGCAGGAUAGGUGGGAGGCUUUGAGUAUAUGACGCCAGUUGUAUAUGAGCCAUUGUUGAGAUACCACUCUUUCUUAUUUGGGUAGCUAACCAGCUUGAGUUAUCCUCAAGUGGGACAAUGUCUGGUGGGUAGUUUGACUGGGGCGGUCGCCUCCCAAAUAAUAACGGAGGCUUACAAAGGUUGGCUCAGAACGGUUGGAAAUCGUUCGUAGAGUAUAAAGGUAUAAGCCAGCUUAACUGCAAGACAUACAAGUCAAGCAGAGACGAAAGUCGGUCUUAGUGAUCCGGUGGUUCUGUGUGGAAGGGCCAUCGCUCAAAGGAUAAAAGGUACCCCGGGGAUAACAGGCUGAUCUCCCCCAAGAGCUCACAUCGACGGGGAGGUUUGGCACCUCGAUGUCGGCUCAUCGCAUCCUGGGGCUGGAGCAGGUCCCAAGGGUAUGGCUGUUCGCCAUUUAAAGCGGUACGCGAGCUGGGUUCAGAACGUCGUGAGACAGUUCGGUCCCUAUCUGCCGUGGGCGUAAGAAGAUUGAAGAGAUUUGACCCUAGUACGAGAGGACCGGGUUGAACAAACCACUGGUGUAGCUGUUGUUCUGCCAAGAGCAUCGCAGCGUAGCUAAGUUUGGAAAGGAUAAACGCUGAAAGCAUCUAAGCGUGAAGCCAACUCUAAGAUGAAUCUUCUCUAAGCUCUCUAGAAGACUACUAGUUUGAUAGGCUGGGUGUGUAAUGGAUGAAAGUCCUUUAGCUGACCAGUACUAAUAGAGCGUUUGGCUUAUCUUUAAUAAAGCAU